rnacentral:rRNA from 1 species
GAUGAACGCUGGCGGCGUGCUUAACACAUGCAAGUCGAACGGAAACAGGAUGAAGCCUAGCGAUUCCUGUUUUAGUGGCGGACGGGUGAGUAACGCGUGGGUAACCUGCCUUACACUGGGGGAUAACAGUUAGAAAUAGCUGCUAAUACCGCAUAAGCGCACAGGGCCGCCUGGCCUGGUGUGAAAAACUCCGGUGGUGUAAGAUGGACCCGCGUCUGAUUAGCUAGUUGGUGAGGUAACGGCCCACCAAGGCGACGAUCAGUAGACGGCCUGAGAGGGUGAACGGCCACAUUGGGACUGAGACACGGCCCAAACUCCUACGGGAGGCAGCAGUGGGGAAUAUUGCACAAUGGGGGAAACCCUGAUGCAGCGACGCCGCGUGAGUGAAGAAGUAUUUCGGUAUGUAAAGCUCUAUCAGCAAGGAAGAAAAUGACGGUACUUGACUAAGAAGCCCCGGCUAACUACGUGCCAGCCGCCGCCGUAAGAC